rnacentral:misc_RNA from 1 species
ACACCUCAACUCUCAUGGUCCGCCAUGAUGAGCUUGGACUUUGGGGGCCUUGCCGGCCAAGUGUCGGCUCCUCUCAAAUGGAUCAGCUUGCCAGUGUUUGGUGGCGUCACAGGUGUGAUAACUAUCUACGCUUGUUGUUCUCUGCCAUGUAACCUUCAGUGAUGGAGGUUCGCUGGAGCUCACAGAUGUCUCUCCCUGGGAGGACAGCUCUUUGAAC